rnacentral:lncRNA from 1 species
GGUCGAGUCCAAAAUGUCGCCUACUGCGCAUGACCGGAAGCCGGCUCUCUGAUAUCCUGUCAUGGGGGCGUGAUUUACUAAGAACAAAGGGUGCUAAGUUAUGUGCUCGCGCAAAUAAAGAGUGUUGUUUGUUCAGCUGUUUCGGGUGAUUUACCACGAGCGCCUCUGCGAGUGGAAACCAGCAGCCCCAACUGGUGAGACUGGCUUUUCUUAAAGUGGUGGCGUUUGUAUGCUUUGUGGAAUCCAAAAAUGGUGAAAGAGGACAGUGGGCGUAAGCGCAAAAUGAAAUUUCAAGUGGUUGAACUGGAGGUGUUGGUGGAAGAGGUGAAGAAACACACGCACACGUUACAGCAAACCAAUCUGAAUAUAACCAAGAGGAACGCCAUCUGGGAGGCGAUCUGUGAGAAAGUCAACGCUGUGGGGAAAACGAAGAGAACAACGCACGAAGUGAAGAGAAGAUGGCAGGAUAUGAGGAGGAGAGCGAAGGAGACCAUGGGUGGGAAGAAAUCCUGUGGGAAAAAAGCAGUGGAAGAGGCGACAGUGGCUGUGACUACAGAUGAGCUGCAGCUGAGCGUCUGCAAGGAGGAGAAUAGUGAAAUAUUAGGAUAUGACACCCUUAAGAUAGAGCCUGCAGAACAAGCAGCAUCACCAGAAGUCCCUCAGUCCCCCCCGCACUCCUCCAUCCAGCUCACCCUGGCAGACCCCCCAGCGUGCCCGCCAGCGGAGCCCAGAGCCCGGACCUCUGUGGAGGACCUGGACCUGGAGCUGCUGCAGCAGCAGAAAAGACAGACCACAGCGCUCGAGGACGGGCUACAGUCCAUAGCGCACGAGGUCCGAGCUGCGUCCGCUGUGUCGCGCGCGCUCAGGCGGAACAGCCAGGCCAUCGUUGCACACACGAGGCAGUUAGUUGGCGCUGUCUCCGGCCUGACGACCGCCAUUAACGCCCUGGUGAGAGUGGUUGAAGGCGGUGUGCGGGCCGUUGGGGGGUCGGUUAGCCCCAGUGUGGUGGACUCACCCGUGCAGCCCGGAAAUGGAGAGGAGCGCACGUUACCGUUAUCGCGUGCACAACAAAGCAACCCGCGGAAGAGAAAGAUGCCAGAGACAUUAUGAUGUAGUGGAAAAACAGUCGGUAUAUCAGUCUACAGUGUGUCCAGUAAAUAUUGUAGAUUAUAAAGUUGCUCAUGCUAAAAUAAACAGCAACAAAACACGUUUAAAAAAACGGAU